UGUCUGCUUUAGAUGAUGUACCACUGUUGCGUCUUCUGACCACUCCCUCUGGCACGUUCUAUAUUCACAUAUGAAAUACAAUUCUGAAAAUACUUCGUUUGACCUACGUAAGUCUUUAUCCUCCCAUGUUAAUUGUUUAUCUCCACCUCAAUUAUCUCACAGAGACAUCAGUCAAUGUAAAACUUUUACUACUUUUCACUGAUAAACCCACAGAAAGGGGCUUUUAUUUGAGAUGAAUUAACUGUUCUCUCCCCUUCUUCUAUGACAGUUUAAUAUCUACGUGGCCACAAGAAAAGCUUUCAAUAGCUCAACCUUCAGCCCUGGCUCUGUCCCCCAGAACCUUGACUGAAGAACCAGCAGUCUGUGCGGGGUUUGAAUUCACCAUUAACACCCAGGGUAACCUCAGUCCACAGAAUGUAAGAAGACAAGCGAGGCAAUGUUUGUGGAGUCCAGUGGCUGAAUCCGUUCCACUCCAGAAGAAAUGCCCCGAUUGUCCUUCCUAAGCAAAAAUUGCCACGAUUCCCCAUAAACAUGCAGUUGUCCGUUGACUGUUAUAAAUAGACUUUAAUACACAACCAGCUGUCUGAGAGAGUUUAUAACUGUUGACCAAAGACACAGUGGGGAAGGGAAAUGGGAGAUUUCCACAAAGCAGGAGAAUGGCUUGUCAGCAGUGAGUGAGCUUGUGCACAGAUCCCCCAUUUAAAAUAUGUCAGCAUGCCUGGAUUUGAGCUAAAAUUAGGGGACAGCACAAUGGGCUUCAUGUGGGAGCCUUCAAUAGAUACUCUAUUCUUCUCUCAUGGGCACCCUUGAAUUCAGGAUUGUGAAAUAAGUGGCAGUUACCAGCAGACAGCCUGUAAAGUGCUAGUCAAAGGAGAUAUUUCAGAUGAUACAAAGCAAGAUGCACCAGUUGGGCUGUGAUAGAAUUAACCUCUGCCCCUAGCUCUUCUCAUUUCCGGUACUAUUUUUCUUUAUAUUUUCCAAGAUGUCUCUUUUGCCUUCUUUUCCAGCCUCCCCAGAUAAUCAUUCUCUUAGACUGUUCUGAACAGUUUAGUUUAACUAGAUGCAAUCCCUGGGGCAAAAUGGUGUCUCAAAAUCUAAUGGGGUGUGACAGAAUGGGGCCCAGAGCCAGCCUGCUCUGAGUUUUGACCAGCCAGCGAGAGAUCACUGGAUGUGACUGUGGCUGAAAAUGGAUGGGCUGCUGUUGCAAAGCUCAGUGAAACUAAGCAGGGAAGGAGAGACAUGCCUUCAAAGAACAAAGAUGGAUAUAAAGGGGACAGACAGAAGACAGACACAGAAGUA
ensembl:lncRNA